rnacentral:lncRNA from 1 species
CUCAGUCACCUCUUUAGAGCCCUGUCCCCUCCCUCCCCGUCUCCCCUGCAGCCAUGCUGUCUGCAGGCCCAGUGGGUCCCACGUGGGACCAUUAUUAACACUGCCCUGACCACUUGCUGCUCCCGCAGGUGCGCCUAACACCUUUGUUUAUUUGACAAAGGUUCCCUGAGGGGCUGCAAUGUGCUGGGCGUGUGCUGCAUGCUGGAGAAGUGGAGGGUAAGAGCCAGCCUGUGCCCACAGGCUGGUGGGUGGGGAGGUGUGGUGGGUGGAGAGAAAGACAACUGGGGCCAGUGAACCCAGCGCCAUGAUGAUGCUAUGGGAGCACGGGGGAGGGCUGGCCCAAGUGGAUGUGGUGGGAGUGUGAAGAAGGCUUUGUGGAAUAAGCAACUUCUGAGUGCGGUCUGGAGGGAAAAGCAGAGAGCCAGGUUUCAGGGUUCUGAGUGGAGAGGAAAGGGACUGUGGUCAUCUGGGCAGAGGGAACAGCUCAAGCAAGUGUCUGGGGUGAGAACAAACAUGGUGAGAGCAUGUCUGAUGGACAAAUGUCUUCUCUGGAGAUGUCAGUUAUUGGGUGUGGAUUUUCCAGAGCUGAACUGUGUCCUCUUCAAACUUUUUUUUUUUUUUUUUUUUUGAGAGGGUCUCAUUCUGUCACCCAGGCUGCAGUGCAGUGGCACGAUCACGGCUCACUGCAGCUUCAACUUUUCAGACUUAAGUGAUCCUCCUGCCUCAGCCUCCCAAGUAGCUAGGACUAAAGGUAUGCACUACUACGUCUGGCUAAUUUUUUAAAACAUUUUUUUGUAGAGAUGGGGUCUUGCCAUGUUUCCCAGGCUGAUCUGGAACUCAAGUGAUCCUCCCGCCUUGGCUGCCGAAACUGUUGGGAUUACAGACAUGAGCCACUGUGCCUGGCCCCCUCCAAACUCAUACAUUGAAAUCCUAGCCGCCAGUACCCCUGACUGUAUUUGGGCACAAGGUCUUUAAAGAGGUAAUUAACUAAAAACAAGGUCAUAUAGGUGGGCCCUAAUCCAAUAUAACUUCUCCUAAGAAGAGGAGAUUAGGACACAGACACACACAGAGGGAAGACCACAGGAAGACACAGGGAGAAGAUGGCUGUCUACAAGCCACAAAGAAGGAAAAGGCCUCAGAAGAAACUGACUCUUGAUCUCAGGCUUCCAGUCUCCAGAACUAUGAGAGAGUAAAUUCCUGCUGUUUAAGCCACCCAGUCUGUGGUACUUUGUCAUGACAACCCUCGCAAACUGACACACUGUCUGAUUCCAAACAUUCCCUCAUUUCUCUUUCCUUAGGUUCAUCAUGGUUCAGAAAAGUUUGUCUUCUCUUGGCACACCCAGCUUUGACGGUGCACAUGAAUAGGAUACAGAGGUGCAGGCAGAGGCCAGGCCAGCCCGAGUCAAAGCUUAGGAACAGAGGAUGAAGACUGUUGCAACAAAUAAGGAAGUACAAGCAUGAAAGCAAAAUCGGAGGAACAUUUCCUGGACAGCAUUCCCAUCUCCAGUAAGAGUCCUUCUCACUUCAUAAAAGCGAUACGUAGAAGCAAGACUCUGCCUUUGCGGUGACGUCACUGAAUAUGCAGCCGGGGCCCAGAGUUGAACAAAUGCCACUCUGGCAAGCGGGGCAGGGUCUGGCUUAGCAACUUGACUUUGACCUACCACCUCUGGAUAAUUUUGCUUCUACAUAACUAUGGAGAUGAUGUACUCAUUCUAUUUAUAAAAAUAAUGCCCUUGGAGUAAACCCCAACCAUCCACUCCUACCUCCACCCUGGCCCAGGCCUGUUCUGCCCCAGUGCACCUAAUCUUCCUUCAUUCUUUAUCCCCCUUGUUCACACUGUGCCUGCAUCCUGCUCCUUGAACAAGCCUGGCCUCAUGCCGUUGCACGCUUGCUGCUUCCUCUAUCUGGAAUGCCUUUCUCAUUGCUCCUUGCCAAGCCACUCCUUUUUUUUUUUAGACACAGUUUCACUCUGUCGCCCAGGCUGGAAUGCAGUGGUGCAGUCUUGGCUCACUGCAACCUCUGCCUCCCGGGUUCAAGAGGUUCUCCUGUCUCAGCCUCCCAAGCAGCUGGGAUUAUAGGCGCACACCACCACGCCCAGCUAAUUUUUGUAUUACAAGUAAAGAUGGGGUUUCAACAUGGCCAGGCUGGUCUUGAACUCCUGAUCUCAGGUGAUCUGCCCACCUUGGCCUCCCAAAGUGCUAGGAUUACAGGCGUGAGCCACAGCGCCUGGCCCCAGGUCACUCCUAAUCCAUCAGGUUUCAACUGAAAUGUCAUGCUGGAAAGAGGCCUUCCUUCUCUCUCUAUCCUGGCUAACACUGCCUUCUCUCCCACACCAUCUUGCUAUCCCAUCUUUCUCUUCUGUUUUCUUCAGAGAACUUACUGAUACCUGAAAUGAUCUCAUCGUUUAUUUCUUCCUUUUUUCUUCAUUGUCUGUCUCCCCUUUGGAGCACAGGUUGCUUAAGAACAGGCACCUCACUGGGUGUGACCCAUGCCUGUAAUCCCAGCUACUCAGGAAGCUGGGGUGAGAGGAUGGCUUGAGCCCAGGAGUUCAAGGCUGCAGUGAGCUAUGAUUGUACCAAUGCACUCCAGCCUGGGUAACAGAGCACAAUUCCGUCUUUAAAAAAUAAUACAAAAAUAAAAAAGUAUAGGCACCUCUUCAGUUUUGUUCAUUUCUGAAUCUCUGGUGCCUGGGACAGAGCCUGAUGGUCAGUGAGAGGUGCUUAACAAAUGCUUGUGGAAGGAAGGACUGGGAUAUACUUUUGCAGUUCAAAGGACUUCAGGAAUGAAAUGGCAAUCUGAGGAUGGGGAGUAAAAUGUCCUGUUGUCAACCCUGUAAGCUGCUAAACC